CUUCACCGACCCCAACCACAACGGCUCGGAACGGUCCUGACCGUAGGCGGCCAGUAGCGCCUGGGCCUC
rnacentral:antisense_RNA from 1 species